CCAGAGGAGUGGUCAUGAAGUGACUCCUAACCAGUCCGUUCAAGACCUGGUCUCACCGGGUCUCUGAAGCCUUCGGUGUGUUAGGGAGCGAAUGGCAACAACAGUUUAGCAAAGCCACACAAUCGGGAAGGGAUGUAACGCCUCCUUCCCGCCUCUGCUCCCAGAAGCUGCUGAGUCUGGGGUGACACCGGGAGCCAUGGCUGCGGGCUCAUGCCUGCCGGGCAGCUACCCCCCUGGUUCCUAGGACAGCUCUGUGGGAGAAAUGUAAUUAUCACUUCCAGUCUACAGAGGUCGAAAUGAAGGCAACUGCCAGAGUCACACACACACCCAUCAGCCAGUGGGGGGGCACAGACUGGAGCCCAGGCCGUUCGGACAGCUCCUUCCGAGGAGCAAACCAUGGUGAGGACCAAGCGGGGGACAAGGAUGGUGACACCUCACCAUCACAGGAGAUGUGCCAGUGCGUGACGCUCGUCCACACAUCAGCCCAUCUGGAUCCUCCAACGUCCCUGAGAGGUGGCCGGAACACAGAGAGCUCUUCAAUCCAAAGAAACCAAGGCCCGGAGAGGGUAAGAGACAGACAUGCCCAAGAACAAGACGGCCGUGGCCCUGGCACCUGCACCAGCCGUCCCGAGCCUGGUCUGGGGCUGCGCCCAUGCCACCUCACCCCUGGCCACCUCAGAGAGUCCCACCUUCCAGCUCGGACCCCAGCAGAAAUUCCAUGGUCAAGUCUCACACCAGCUGGGCUGUUGGUCACACUGACAGCAAACUGAUCUAGGAAUUCCACCAGGAGUCAGCAUCUAUGCCCUGGCGAGAUCUGAACACUGCAGGUACCUUAAUCCCGGAACCUUCCAUUGGUAUCCGACUAAACGCUUUACAAAACCCCUUCCACCUUCUCUCAGUGGAUCCCCCCAGGUCCUGCCAUAAUAGCUGUGCUCUAAUGAGCACAUAUGUUAUUGCUUUUUGCUGGUUUUGCUGUUUGCUGACUCUCCCUUCAAAAUAUCCAAGUAGUCACUCUGGGCCCUUGAUCCUUUAUGCGUGAUUCUAAAAGCCAGGAAGCCCUCGAAUCUGAGUUUUUCUCUCUGAGUUUGCAGAAAGCUCAUCUGACAGCAAAACCUUACCUGAACUAACCUGAGGCUAUUCCUAAUAUUAACUUAUUCCAUGUAAUGUGAAUAUUCAUAUAUUUUAUCAUAGAAACAUCAGUGAGUUUAAUUACAGGGCACCACCUUAGGUCCUCCUGGGAACCUCAUGCAGUAGCACCUUCUUGAAAUAAAAUUUAAAGUCAUCGUUGAAUUACAUUUGGCCCCAAGAGCUCUGGAUGGAGCACUGGAUGGGUACCACGGAUAUUUAAUGACCGUACCAGCCCCUGGGUUAGGGUUUCCCAAAGACCCAUCACAUGGUCCCCAUAGGACAGACAUUGUCUCCGCUUAUAGAUGCAGACACUGGGGUGUGGAGCCAGUAGUUUCUACUACAUCACAGAGCUAUCAAAUGCCAGAGCCAGGAAAACUAGAACCCCUUAUUACCAAGUGUGUGUUUGUGUGUGUGUGUGUAUGUGUGUGUGUAUAGAGAUGAACCCCUUAUUACCAAGUGUGUGUUUGUGUGUGUGUGUAGAGAGAUGAACCCCUUAUUACCAAGUGUGUGUGUGUGUGUGUAGAGGUGAACCCCUUAUUACCAAGUGUGUGUGUGUGUGUGUGUGUGUGUGUGUGUGUGUGUGUGUGUAGAGGUGGGCCAGGGAGUUAGAGAUGACUCAUGGGCUUUGUAAAGCACUGGGCAUGUGAAACAGGCCCUAAGGGAGAUCCUCCGUGGCACAGUGGGUUAAGGCUCAGAAUUGUCAGAGCAGUGGCUCAGGCCACUGGUUCGAUCCCUGGCCCGGGAACUUCCACCUGCUGCGGGCACGGCCAACAAACAAACAAAACAAAGAUAGAUAAAUAAAAUAAAAAUAAAGUGGUCUGAAACUUCAUCUGCCCCGGGAAGGAGGAGAGAGGAAAAGACAGGAAUUUCCAGGCCUGCAGAGAACCCUGCCUCCGCUUUGCCUGGACACCUUCCUGGUUGGCAGAGAAAAGAGCAGAGAGAUGUUGAAACUACUUAUACUCCAAGUUGUCAAGGACCAAGGGUGGGCUGCCGCAGUCAGGGUCUUCUUCCUAGGAUAAUGGCAGACGUUGGCUGGAGUUUGCCAGCAGAAAAAAAGGAAGGAGGGCCAGGACUUCUCAGCAUCCCAGGCUUCUCCUGGGGAGGGCGGAGGUCCUUCUACAGGGCAGAUAACAAGCCCAGGGUGUGGGUGGUUCCAGGCUGGACUGCAGAUGGGUUAACACAGGUCCUUGGGGGCUGGAAUACACUCUGC
ensembl:lncRNA